GAGUUUGAUCCUGGCUCAGAUUGAACGCUGGCGGCAUGCCUUACACAUGCAAGUCGAACGGCAGCAUGAUCUAGCUUGCUAGAUUGAUGGCGAGUGGCGAACGGGUGAGUAAUACAUCGGAACGUGCCCUGUAGUGGGGGAUAACUAGUCGAAAGAUUAGCUAAUACCGCAUACGACCUGAGGGUGAAAGUGGGGGACCGCAAGGCCUCAUGCUAUAGGAGCGGCCGAUGUCUGAUUAGCUAGUUGGUGGGUAAAGGCCCACCAAGGCGACGAUCAGUGGCUGGUCUGAGAGGACGAUCAGCCACACUGGGACUGAGACACGGCCCAGACUCCUACGGGAGGCAGCAGUGGGGAAUUUUGGACAAUGGGCGAAAGCCUGAUCCAGCAAUGCCGCGUGUGUGAAGAAGGCCUCGGUUGUAAGU
rnacentral:rRNA from 1 species